rnacentral:rRNA from 1 species
AUUGAACGCUGGCGGCAGGCCUAACACAUGCAAGUCGAACGAGUGGCGGACGGGUGAGUAAUGUCUGGGAAACUGCCUGAUGGAGGGGGAUAACUACUGGAAACGGUAGCUAAUACCGCAUACCAUCAGAUGUGCCCAGAUGGGAUUAGCUUGUUGGUGGGGUAACGGCUCACCAAGGCGACGAUCCCUAGCUGGUCUGAGAGGAUGACCAGCCAAACGGGAACUGAGACACGGUCCAGACGCCGAGGGGAGGAAGCAGUGGGGAAUAGUGAAAAAGGGGCGAAAGCCUGAGGCAGCCAUGCGGCGUGUAUGAAGAAGGCCUUCGGGUUGUAAAGGACUUUCGGCGGGGAGGCGUUACCCGAAGAAGAAGCACCGGCUAACUCCGUGCCAGAAGCCGCGGUAAUAC